UUGCCUAUAUACGUCACUCCUCCAAUAAAAUGGCCACGCCCUUUACACGUUGUGCAAUAGUUUUUUGUUUUUAGAUUUUUUUCCCAAUGAACCCUUAUUAAGGGAUGUAAGCACAUACCCCCCUUCCCCCCCCUGAUAUGUAAGUACCUGAAAAGGGGGGUUGAAUAAGUAGAAAAAAUUCUCGAGAGAGAAAGCGAGAGAGAGCAUUAUUACCUACCACCCCCCCAAAAAGAAGAGGAAAAAUGAAAGUCUUUUUUGGGGUUCCUGAUGAAUAAAUCGAAAAAAUCAUAGGGGGCUUUUUUGUAGAUCUCAAGGAGCCCUACAAAAUCGAUUCUACGAGUUUUUCGUGUAAGUGGCACGGUUUCGUAGAUAUUUGGCUCGGAAGUUGUCAUAUUAUUUGUAUUGUAUGUAAUUGCUUAGAGAAGGUGCCUUAGAGGGUCCCCAAUGGGGUGCCUGGAAGACUUAGGAGGCUUAUUAGGGCUGGACAAGAAGAAACAGUAUUGAAACAUGUGCCUAUGGAAGAGGAUGUGGGCCACAAAUAACGGGGAGGAGACUUACCCUAGAGGCACCUCUUUGAGUGGAGGAGACAUGGAGGUACCACAGGAGACAAAAGAGCAGAGCAACUGCUCCAGAUCGUAAAGAAAAGUUGUAUAAGAUUAUAAAUAAACUUGUUUAUUCAUUA